rnacentral:lncRNA from 1 species
UUGUAAGUUUUCUGAGAGUGUCUCAUCUAAAACUCCUUCUCUUACUUCUCAUCUUUGGAAGAGUCCAAAUCAAGAAGGAGGCAUCUGAUCGACCGUCGAAGAAGGAUCAGCACAGUACUAGCAUACUGUGCUGAUUUUCUAGACCAGGACUUCUGAUCGUGAUUCGUGGGCUCAUGUGGAUGACUCCUAGAGGUCGGACACAUGUGAUGCUCGCAACAUCAUCCUCAAGCUUGGAUCAACAAAGUUAGAACGUCUAACUUGCAACAUAAUAGAUCUGAUCUAUUAUAUUUUACAUACAUUAGAUGUAGUAUAGAAACAUGUCGAUAUGAUCAACAUGUAGUUCUUGCAAUUUAUAUUUUUAUUUUUAAUUUAAUGUCAUAUAAUAAUAAUUUAAUAGGAUGAUCUUAGAUUUAGGGAUUCUUUGAUUUUAUAAGAUAAAUUUUAAUUUAUUUUAGUCUUUCGCUGCC